rnacentral:rRNA from 1 species
CUACGGGUGGCUGCAGUGAGGAAUAUUGCGCAAUGGGGGAAACCCUGACGCAGCGACGCCGCGUGGAUGAUGAAGGCCUUAGGGUCGUAAAAUCCUGUCAGGUGGGAAGAAGUGGAUAUAGAUUAAUACUCUAUUUCUUUGACGGUACCACCAAAGGAAGCACCGGCUAACUCCGUGCCAGCAGCCGCGGUAAUACGGAGGGUGCAAACGUUGUUCGGAAUUACUGGGCGUAAAGCGCGCGUAGGCGGUUUGUUAAGUCCGAUGUGAAAGUCCAUGGCUCAACUAUGGAAGUGCAUUUGAAACUGGCAGACUUGUGUACGGGAAGGGGUGAUGGAAUUCCCGGUGUAGAGGUGGAAUUCGUAGAUAUCGGGAGGAAUACCGGUGGCGAGGGCGAUCACCUGGCCAGAUACUGACGCUGAGGUGCGAAAGCGUGGGGAGCAAACAGGAUUAGAUACCCGUGUAGUC